AAAUAGAGUUUACAAAUUACUACUUAUAUAGAAACACAGGAGAACAUAUUAAUACAGGAGAACAAAUUAAGUUUACAAAUUACUACUUAUAUAGAAACACAGGAGAACAUAUUAAUACAGGAGAAAAAAUUAAGUUUACAAAUUACUACUUAUAUAGAAACACAGGAGAACAUAUUA